rnacentral:snRNA from 1 species
ACCUCCCGGGAAGUCCUCGU